rnacentral:lncRNA from 1 species
AAAGAAGAAUGCAUCAGAUAGAGUUAAGCAAAAUUUCGUGGUUUGGGCGGCCCUGGCCAGUUAAUGGGAUCAAAUGCUUGGUUGACUGAUUGAUUAUUUAUGCAGAAAUCAUCAUUAUGAUAAGAAAAAAGAAGUCGACUCAAAGGUUCCAAACACUGCAAACAGUCUGGAAAUCAUGGGCUGUUGAAGCAGGAAGGAACCCCGUGGACCAUACAGCCAGAGCUUUCGUUUUGCUGCUGAAGAAACUGCCAUUCAGAAAGGUUAUUCGAGGCCACACAGCUGGUCAGUUCAAUAGCCCAAUCUUCAUAUCAGGGUUUCUGAUUCUCAGUUCAACACUCUACGCUCUGCUGUCCUCCUGUGAUAGGAUGAUAUUUGUCUGGGAUUAUUGUAGUUUUAAAAUGGAAAAUCUCAUAUCCUAG